rnacentral:rRNA from 1 species
UACGUAGGGCGCAAGCGUUGUCCGGAAUUAUUGGGCGUAAAGAGCUCGUAGGCGGUUUGUCGCGUCUGCUGUGAAAACCUGAGGCUCAACCUCGGGCUUGCAGUGGGUACGGGCAGACUAGAGUGCGGUAGGGGUGACUGGAAUUCCUGGUGUAGCGGUGGAAUGCGCAGAUAUCAGGAGGAACACCGAGUGGCGAAGGCAGAUCUCUGGGC